GUGCUCACUUUGGCAGCAUAUAUACUAAAAUUGGAAUGAUACAGAGAAGAUUAGCAUGGCUCCUGAGCAAAGAUGACAUGCAAAUUUGUGAAGCAUUCCAUGUUUUU
ensembl:snRNA U6 U6 spliceosomal RNA